CGACUUAUAUUCUGUAGCAAGGUUAACCGUAUAGGGGAGCCGGAGGGAAACCGAGUCUUAAUUGGGCGUUAAGUUGCAGGGUAUAGACCCGAAACCCGGUGAUCUAGCCAUGGGCAGGUUGAAGGUUGGGUAACACUAACUGGAGGACCGAACCGACUAAUGUUGAAAAAUUAGCGGAUGACCUGUGGCUGGGGGUGAAAGGCCAAUCAAACCGGGAGAUAGCUGGUUCUCCCCGAAAGCUAUUUAGGUAGCGCCUCGUGAAUUCAUCUCCGGGGGUAGAGCACUGUUUCGGCUAGGGGGCCAUCCCGGCUUACCAACCCGAUGCAAACUGCGAAUACCGGAGAAUGUUAUCACGGGAGACACACGGCGGGUGCUAACGUCCGUCGUGAAGAGGGAAACAACCCAGACCGCCAGCUAAGGUCCCAAAGUCAUGGUUAAGUGGGAAACGAUGUGGGAAGGCCCAGACAGCCAGGAUGUUGGCUUAGAAGCAGCCAUCAUUUAAAGAAAGCGUAAUAGCUCACUGGUCGAGUCGGCCUGCGCGGAAGAUGUAACGGGGCUAAACCAUGCACCGAAGCUGCGGCAGCGA
rnacentral:rRNA from 1 species